UCCCCGUUUAAGCGAGGCAGUCUGUCCAGAGUGCUCCAAACUCUCGUUUGAGUGGCAACAGGACAUAAGGGUUGCGCUCGUUGCGGGACUUAACCCAACAUCUCACGACACGAGCUGACGACAGCCAUGCAGCACCUGUGCAAGCUCCCCUUGCGGGGUCGUCCCACUUUCAUGGUUCUACCACAUGCAUGUCAAGGCCAGGUAAGGUUCUUCGCGUUGCAUCGAAUUAAGCCACAUACUCCACCGCUUGUGCAGGCCCCCGUCAAUUUCUUUGAGUUUUAAUCUUGCGACCGUACUUCCCAGGCGGCGCAUUUAUCGCGUUAGCUUCGCCACAAACGGGGUCGAUUCCGCCCACACCAAACGUGCACCGUUUACUGCCAGGACUAC
rnacentral:misc_RNA from 1 species